rnacentral:tRNA from 1 species
UCCAGGGUAGCUUAGUGUACAUGGCAUCUGUCCGGUAAACGAAACACUAUGGGUUCAAUUCCCAUCCUUGGAC